AACGAACGCUGGCGGCAUGCCUAACACAUGCAAGUCGAACGAAGGCUUCGGCCUUAGUGGCGGACGGGUGAGUAACACGUGGGAACGUGCAUUUAGGUCCGGAAUAACCCAGGGAAACUUGUGCUAAUAACGAAUGUGCCCUUCGGGGGAAAGAUUUAUCGCCUUUAGAGCGGCCCGCGUCUGAUUAGCUAGUUGGUGAGGUAAAGGCUCGCCAAGGCUACGAUCAGGAGCUGGUCUGAGAGGAUGACCAGCCACAUUGGGACUGAGACACGGCCCAAACUCCUACGGGAGGCAGCAGUGGGGAAUCUUGCUCAAUGGGCGAAAGCCUGACGCAGCCAUGCCGCGUGGAUGAUGAAGGUCUUAGGAUUGUAAAAUCCUUUCACCGGUGAAGAUAAUGACUGUAGCCGGAGAAGAAGCCCCGGCUAACUUCGUGCCAGCCGCCGCAGUAAUAC
rnacentral:rRNA from 1 species